GACGGAGGAUGCAAGUGUUAUCCGGAAUCACUGGGCGUAAAGCGUCUGUAGGUGGUUUAAUAAGUCAACUGUUAAAUCUUGAGGCUCAACCUCAAAAUCGCAGUCGAAACUAUUAGGCUAGAGUAUAGUAGGGGUAAAGGGAAUUUCCAGUGGAGCGGUGAAAUGCGUAGAGAUUGGAAAGAACACCGAUGGCGAAGGCACUUUACUGGGCUAUUACUAACAUCUCAGAGACGAAAGCUAGGGUAGCAAAUGGG
rnacentral:rRNA from 1 species